UUCUAAGGCACCUCACCAAAGGGGCCAAGGCGGGGCCCAGGAAUCUGCAUUUUACGGGUGGCCCUCCUCGCGCACACACACACGCAUCGAGAAGAAUGGAAAUGCCUUGGCCGUGGAGUUUGGGGUGCAGGUCCUGCCUCCUUUAGCCUCUCAUCCUGACUCAGUGAGCAGAGGAAGGGAGAAGGGGGAGACGAGGAGGAGCGCGGGGCGGUGGCGAGGGGCAGUCAGGCCCAAGCCAAUCUGGUCAUCACCAGGAGGAAACCCUCAAGCGGGACAUUGAACCGCCGGGGCGAUUAGUGCUCCGGAAACCACGGGGACCCACUGAGAUGUUGACUGAUGCCGUGUUCUUUUCCAUUUCUUCUCUGAUUACAUUGAUCCUGUACUUUUGCUGAUGUUGUGACAGUCUAAUUAUAGACUUCUCGGCUGCUGAGCAAACAGUUGUGCCCUCUCGGUAAAUCCGCCUGUUACACAAGCACCAGCUCUGGGACACUGUCAUUAUAUGCAGCCAACCCCAUGACAUGCUGGGCAGCUCGGCCACACACCCUUUACCUCCUCGUCCCCGUUGGAGCCACAGGUGCUGGAGGAGAGAAGUGUCACCGGCCAAGAGAAGAGAGUAUCAGCAAGGUGGGGCCAGGUGGAGAAUGUCCAUCCUCAAAGUUCCUCAAGAAUCUAUUUCGUGGUCCUCCAACUUGUAGGCCUCAAAAACUUUUCUGGAUCUGUGUCCCAGAGCUAGAUGGAUCAAAGAAGGCUUAUUUGCUCCAGCAAUGUUCACAAGAGAUGGAUGUGAAGGCUGGAAGGAAGAGGUACAUGUUCUGGUUAUCCAGCAUCUGAAGCUCCUUAUUCUGUUUGGCGAAUUCCCCGUCUUAAGCAGUAGAGCCCACUUCUCAGAGUUAAAGCUGAAAACAUCAGAUGAUCUGGUUUUUGAGCUUUCUUUGCAACGAGGGCUUGGGCACACCAUCUGGGCUGUGCUGAUCAGAUGCUCUCUCUCAGAAGCUAGUGAUGGGACACCAGAUUCCAUUUAUCAAUGCGUGGUGGCAGUGGUGGGAGUGGUAAUUGCAUCAUUUCCAGAGGCAGCAGUAGCAACAUGUAUUGCCUGCAUCUAUGGUGACAUCAGGCCAUCUUCCCUGGGCCUGCAGUAUGAUUUUUAAGCCUUGUUCCUGGUAGCAUAGCCAAUUGGCCAAGUUCUCCAGCCACCUGCUGAUUCUGUGGGCUCCACAAUGCUUUUAAAAUAAAUUCCAUUGUUC